rnacentral:rRNA from 1 species
GCAAGUCGAGCGGUAACAGGAGAAAGCUUGCUUUCUCGCUGACGAGCGGCGGACGGGUGAGUAAUGCAUAGGAAGUUGCCCAGUAGAGGGGGAUAACCAUUGGAAACGAUGGCUAAUACCGCAUGACCUCUUCGGAGYAAAGCAGGGGACCUUCGGGCCUUGCGCUAUUGGAUACGCCUAUGUGGGAUUAGCUAGUUGGUGAGGUAAGGGCUCACCAAGGCGACRAUCCCUAGCUGGUCUGAGAGGAUGAUCAGCCACACUGGGACUGAGACACGGCCCAGACUCCUACGGGAGGCAGCAGUGGGGAAUAUUGCACAAUGGGCGAAAGCCUGAUGCAGCCAUGCCGCGUGUAUGAAGAAGGCCUUCGGGUUGUAAAGUACUUUCAGUUGUGAGGAAGGCGGUAAGAUUAAUACUCUUAUCGUUUGACGUUAGCAACAGAAGAAGCACCGGCUAACUCCGUGCCAGCAGCCGCGGUAAUACGGAGGGUGCGAGCGUUAAUCGGAAUUACUGGGCGUAAAGCGCAUGCAGGUGGUUUGUUAAGUCAGAUGUGAAAGCCCGGGGCUCAACCUCGGAAGGUCAUUUGAAACUGGCAAACUAGAGUACUGUAGAGGGGGGUAGAAUUUCAGGUGUAGCGGUGAAAUGCGUAGAGAUCUGAAGGAAUACCAGUGGCGAAGGCGGCCCCCUGGACAGAUACUGACACUCAGAUGCGAAAGCGUGGGGAGCAAACAGGAUUAGAUACCCUGGUAGUCCACGCCGUAVACGAUGUCUACUUGGAGGUUGUGGCCUUGAGCCGUGGCUUUCGGAGCUAACGCGUUAAGUAGACCGCCUGGGGAGUACGGUCGCAAGAUUAAAACUCAAAUGAAUUGACGGGGGCCCGCACAAGCGGUGGAGCAUGUGGUUUAAUUCGAUGCAACGCGAAGAACCUUACCUACUCUUGACAUCCAGAGAAGCCAGUAGAGAUACAGGYGUGCCUUCGGGARCUCUGAGACAGGUGCUGCAUGGCUGUCGUCA